rnacentral:rRNA from 1 species
UACGAAGGGGGCUAGCGUUGUUCGGAUUUACUGGGCGUAAAGCGCACGUAGGCGGAUCGAUCAGUCAGGGGUGAAAUCCCAGAGCUCAACUCUGGAACUGCCUUUAAUACUGUCGAUCUGGAGUAUGGAAGAGGUGAGUGGAAUUCCGAGUGUAGAGGUGAAAUUCGUAGAUAUUCGGAGGAACACCAGUGGCGAAGGCGGGUCUCUGGACAGUUCCUGACACUGAGACACGAAGGCCAGGGGAGCAAACGGG